AAAUAGUUUAAGAGUGUUAAAUAAAUGUUUAUCCUGUUCAGCCCACAACCUAAGGUGUGUUUUGAAUUCCGGCCCCUUGUGCGAUUGAGUUUGACACCCCUGUUUUAGAUGUUCUUAUAAAACAUACUUUCAGAAAAAUUUGCAGUAAAAAAAAUAUACACAAAGAAAAAAUAUCCCUCAACAUUAAUUCUGUCAUGGUAAAGAUUAAGCACAUCACUUCAUCAAGAGUAAAGAAGAAGCACAGAUGCAGCUUCUGCAUCAUUUAAACGCCCCUCUCUGCACGACUGUUCUACUCCUAUUUGUCUGAUCCUCGCUCAUUAUGCAAAUCAGGGAGUGGGCGUAGUUUGUCCUCAAAAGUGCGAUCUGACGUCACGGUAAUGAGUGACACUUGUUGGAGAGGAAUUGCGGGGGAUUACUAAAAAAAAAGAAAAAAAAAUGAGAGAACAUAAAGCCAUAAAGCAUAAGAUGAAAUAAAUAAGGCUGAUUCCAAAACAAGGCAGCUUAUAGGCUGCAAGAGGAACAGAAGAGGGGAGGGAGAAGAAUCAGAGGAGGAGUAGGGAGUCAGGAGCGUAUAAGGGAUGGGGAGGGGUGGGGGGGCAUGGUACUGUGCAGUUGACUAAAGAGAGAUAGGAGGAAUAGAGAGAGGGAGAGAGAGAGGGAGCAGCCCGCCGGCCCAUUGAGGAAAGAUGGCUACAGUCACUGCAAACGGAGUGCAGCAAGAGAAUGGAUUCAGCACCACGAACAGCGCCGGCAGGAUGAACGGGCUCACCAUCGGCCAGAACACCAUUCCAAUGAAGGACCACGACGCCAUCAAGCUUUUCAUCGGGCAGAUUCCCAGAAACCUGGAGGAAAAAGACCUGAAACCCCUGUUUGAGGAAUUCGGAAAGAUAUACGAACUCACCGUGCUGAAAGACAGGUUCACGGGAAUGCAUAAAGGAUGUGCCUUUCUAACAUACUGUGCCAGAGAGUCAGCACUGAAGGCCCAGAGCGCCCUGCAUGAACAGAAGACUCUGCCAGGGAUGAACCGGCCCAUCCAGGUGAAGCCAGCCGACAGCGAAGGACGGGGAGAAGACAGGAAGCUGUUUGUUGGGAUGCUCGGCAAGCAGCAGAGCGAGGACGACGUGCGGCGGCUGUUUGAGACCUUCGGCCAGAUCGAGGAGUGCACCGUCCUUCGAGGGCCUGAUGGGGCCAGUAAGGGCUGUGCCUUUGUCAAGUUUUCCAGCCAUGCAGAAGCGCAAGCUGCAAUUAACAGCUUGCAUGGAGGACAAACUAUGCCUGGUGCCUCGUCCAGCCUGGUGGUCAAAUUUGCAGACACUGAUAAGGAGAGGACCCUGCGCAGGAUGCACCAGAUGGCGGGCCAGCUCGGCAUCUUCAGUCCCAUGACCAUCCAGUUUGGGGCCUAUGGCACCUAUUCUCACGCUGUAAGUCUCAGCCCGGCGGGGGAGGAGACGCAGAUGAUGCAACAGCAAGCAGCCCUGAUGGCAGCAACACAAGGGUCCUACCUGAACCCCAUGGCAGCCAUUGCUGCCGCACAAAUGCAGCAAAUGGCAGCUUUCAAUGUCAACGGUCUGGUGGCUACUCCCAUGACACCGUCCUCAGGCACCAGCACACCCCCAGGCAUCUCUGCUACUGCCGUGCCCAGCAUAGCCACUCCUAUCGGGGUCAAUGGAUUCAGUGCCCUCCCGCCUCAGAGCAAUGGCCAGCCUACAUCUGAGCCCAUCUACACCAAUGGCAUUCAUCCUUACCCAGCACAGAGUCCAACGGUGACUGACCCUCUUCAGCAGGCUUAUGCUGGCGUCCAGCACUACGCAGCAGCCUACCCUGCCGCCUAUGCGCCAAUCAGCCAAGCGUUCCCCCAGCAACCAACCAUCAUUCCCCAGCAACAGAGGGAAGGGCCAGAAGGUUGCAACCUGUUUAUUUACCACCUGCCCCAGGAGUUUGGAGACGCUGAGCUCAUGCAAAUGUUCCUACCUUUUGGCAACGUCAUCUCAGCCAAAGUCUUUGUGGACAGAGCAACCAAUCAGAGCAAAUGUUUUGGCUUUGUAAGUUUUGAUAACCCAUCCAGUGCUCAAGCCGCUAUCCAGGCGAUGAAUGGCUUUCAGAUAGGCAUGAAGAGGCUGAAGGUGCAGCUAAAGCGGCCAAAGGAUGCCAACCGACCUUAUUGACUCGUCUGCUAUCCGUACCCAGUGUGAGGUGGCCUUUCUCCGCUAUAGCCACACACACCCCGACAACUGUCACGGGGCCAAGUUCCCACAGCUGAUGAAGGGCCACAACACCUUAUUUCCACAAGUGCAGUAAAAGUACAAAGACUUCUUGUUCUGCUACAUAUCAUGAAGGAAGGGUGGUCCCUUGAUCCUCCUGGAAAGCCGCAGAAAGAUUGGGUGACUGAAAGAUGGAUCCCAGAGUUGAUUUAUUUUUCUUUUUUUUCCCUUUUUUUUAAAUACUACGUUUUUGUUUUUCUUUCUUUGCAAAUGCCUCUUUUUUCCUGGUUUGCUUUGGCGUAUGUGGAAGAAGAUUUUUUGCAGAGACCAACUUUUUGCUGCUGUUUUUUAGACAUAAUGGGGAAAAAAAAACUUUAUAGACUCAUUAUGCUCAAAGCAUGCAUACAGACAACCGAUAUAGAUAAACAACCAGAAAAUAAACCAAACAUAAACAGUUAACAGACAAACAAACACUGGACUACGAAGAAAAAAAAAAAAAAAAAAGAACUUUGUACAUGUAUAAAUACGUGCAAAUGCCAACACAAGAACUUAAUCAAGGUCAUGCGUGUGCACACACUAAUACACACCAACACACACACCAGCCUGCUGCCAUUUUGGUUUUUGUGCCUACACAGGUGUUGUGCUCUGUGACAGGGCAAGCUCUGGAUCAAAGAAGAAAACAAGACGAAGAAGAGACAAGUGGAGAAUCCAGGAUAAUUUACAUGCAUCAUUCCUUAGGAAAUAGGGACCAAAGGACUAAACGCUUUUUAAAAGAUUAUAAAUAUAUAAAUAUAUAAAUAUAUAUUUAAAAACUCAUACCUUGUAGCUGCAAGUAUUACAAUUUACUUAUAGGGGGAAAAAAAUCAUUAAAUCAAUAUCCAGUGGCCUACUGUAAGUAUAAGUUAAAGAAAAUGGAAAUAUUGUAUUAAAAAAAAAAUGAAGUGGAAUUGUAGUGUAGGGGCUGAUCUUUUUGCUCUGGAUGCUGAUUUAGCAGCAAGUUGUAGAAUAGUGUAGUAGACUAGAAAAAAAAAGUAGAUUUGCUAACUUUUGCUGUUGUUUAAAAAAAAUACUUGAAGUCGUAAUGAAAAAAAAGGGGUGGAAUGAAGAGGUAAAGGAAGAUGCUCAAUAUCUCUUUGUGUGGAGCAACUCUUUUGGAUUGUAAAGGUAUCAGCCACUGGAUAUCUCACUCAUAAUGAUGUACAAGUUACCACACUCUGAGAGCUACAAAGAGACUGUUCUGAAAGAAAAAAAAAGGACAGAAGAAAAAAAAAGACUGAAGUUACAGAUGUCUGUGCUGGACGGAGUACAGAUGUUUAAGGCUUCUCGCUAGCCUUUGUGUUCAUGCGACAAUCCACUGUAAAGACCAAGAAAAUGGACAUUGCUGUCUUUUUCCCUUUUUUCUUUUUAUUUAAUCUUAUUCUGUUGUUUUUAUUGAAACCACAACUUGUUAAAAAGAUUUGUUAAAGAGAGAUGGACAACUGUGAAGCAGUGCUAGAGCGAGGUGACAGUCACUGAAAGUCCCAACUGAAUGAACCCAGUUUAAAGAUGACUUUUAUGUGGCGUUCCUUCAAAAGGAAAAAAGUGUGUCAAUCAAGGAGGAUGUGCUCGUGACAUGCCAAGAGUCCUUCAGUCUUCUGGUGAUGCUGCAAAAAAUCUGAAAUGAUAAAAUGUUUAUCUUGUCUCUUGGCAGUUAAAAGUAAACAUUCUUUUUUUUUUUCUUUGAAUAAAGUCAAAUUACCCACAUUGGUGGCAAAGGGGAGCUCAUUUAGCUCUGCCAAAUAUAAUUUAUUCAGACUCCACUGUAAACAUGUUCACUGACCUGCUUUCUCCAUGUACAUAAAGUUUACAGGGAAAAAUUAUUUAAAAAAAAAAGCCUACAACAGGCAAAACCAAAAUUAAUUUUACCUCCCACUCAGCUCUCCUGUAGCUCCUCAGACAAAAAAAAAUCUAUAGCUUGAUUCUUUUGCCUUCAUUUUGACUGUUUUGAAGCAGGCUCCUCUCGGAAACUAGAUCAAUAUGUUUGGAGUGGGCCUAGAGGGAGGAGCAAAGCUGUUUCAGUCACUAUGAGCACUUCUCAGUGUUCUCAGCAGAACACCGGCUCACAUCCGUACACCAGUCCUCUGAGCACCAGCAGCUGCCAUUAAGAGGCAGGCCAAGGAGGGAAGAAAGGAAGUCAACAGCUUGUCACAUAUAGAGAUCGUUCGUGACUGCUGCUGCUGCUGCUGCUGAGUUGUUGCAGAAUAGUUUAAAAUAAGAAGCUGGAAUCAGGCCUAUGGGGACAAUAAUUAUAGAUUAAAAAAAAUAACAUUUAAGGGUGGGACAGUGGGAGCACUUUAGCCAACCGCUCAAUCCACUUCCUAUUUACAACUGCAUCUUUGCUUGAUAUUCAACUGUGUUUCAAAUCAAAGAAGAUGGAUUGAUCAAAUAUGCCAGCAUAUUACAGAUAUUAAUACACUGCCUUUGUCAUUUAAAAAAGCUGGAGGUCGUGAUAUCUAUCCAUUAUAUCAGCAUGCCUAUUACCUCCUAUCGUUCUGCAGCCAUGCCUUUGCAAACCGCAGCUCAACUGUUCACAUCUCCCCCCAUGGAGCAGCAUUUUCAAGCUUGGCCUAAUGCCUGCGCUUGCUACCCUUCAAUUAUCUCCUGCACCAUAUUAGACAUGCUAUCUCACCUUUCCCUCUAAUCAUACUGUAAUCAUCAGCCUCUAUACAUUAGCAGCAACCAAGUGAAAAAUCACCGGGAUAAUCACUUGGACCAAAUGACGGCAGAGAUGGUCCCCUGUAUGCACAUGGAUAACAGAAGGAAGAUUAGGGAGAAUUAUGUUUGUGCCUACUCCCUGGCAAGGCUGCUGACAGCUGACCUGGCACCGAUAAUACAGCUAAAUUUACCCGAAAAAUACACUGGAGGAGUGGAACAAAAGCUUCCGUAUAAUAACAAGGUGUUAAUAUUGCACCGCAGAAUGACAUUACCAGGAGAUAAAAGAGGACGAAGAGCAUAAAAAAAGUAUUUUGCUUUCAUUUCACUACAAAGGUUGCAGCGGUGGUUGCUCAAAAGUGGGUCAAAAACAGCAAUUUUGCUGAAAAAGGCUCAAUCCUGUCUAAGCACCUGGUGUGAAGCUUGUGUCCUUGUGAUUCUUUUUUCAUCACCAAAACUGUAUCUCAGCAGUACGCUACAGAGGUCAAUCCAAUUUUACAAAACUAUUUUCUUACACCUUUUUUUUUGCUUUUCUUUUCAUCCGUUCUGCACAGCUAUAAAGCAGUUUCUCUUCAUCAGAUAUAAAAUAUGAAAGCACAGCCUUCUAAAUUCAAAGUCAUAUAAAUGUUUUUAUUUUUUCUGCUGUUGGAUAAACUCAUGAAAGCAGAAAGUUGUGCAAAUUCAAAUCCACAGCAUCCAAAUUCAUUACGUCUGUGAUGCUGCAGUUAUAAAUGUGCAAAUUAAUGUUUUAUAAGCAAUCAAGUGUCCUGUUCUCGUCUUGGUGACCUCUAAAAUACACCCAGUAAGAAGAUAACUGAAAGCAUGCUCAACUGAACAUCUCCGCGUUAUAUCACAUUCUGUACUUGUUCCCACUGCUAAUAGCAGGUUCGGUCCCCAGUGAGCCAAAAACCCAGCUUAGCUUAGUACCCUGCUGCCUGGCUUGGCUAAUAGUGCAGUGCUCAUGUACCAUAUCUGCUAUGCCAGGACUAAUUUAGGCAAUGUGAAAUUAGCACUUCAACACUUUUAACAUGGGCAUUUUUACUGCCUUAACACCCUGGGGAGGAGGUUGCUAAAGAGACGGGCAAAAUAAGCUUCACUGUAAUAUGAUUCUCCUGCUGAAAUUAAAAGACAAAGUGAUUUUUAAAACUUCUCAUUACCCACUUAUUUAAUGGGUUUCUGCAUGCCUUUCCAUUAGUUUGUUUUUUCAGUCCCAUGUUUUUACCUCCAAAUGUUAACCAGCCAACAAACCUGUUGCCAAAUGUUUAUUUGUCCACUUGCAUAUAUGAAAACUGUUGUAACAUUUUUUUUUUGGGGUGAAUAAUAUGUAAAUAUAAUUGUGGAAAAAAAAUGUUUAGCACACUGGGCCAAAUAAUAGUCUGCUGUUGAGCUAAGCAGCUUUGACUGUGGUGAACUAAAAAAGUACAUUUGAGUUUAAACUGUUGGGUUUUUUUUCUGUGCAAAAUUACAAAAAUCUGCCUUCAGAGUAGUCAUGUUCAAACCACCUCAGACAGUGGGUGCUUGUAUGCAUAUUACACCCAUUUUAAGCUGGCAAUACACUGCUCACAAGGAUCAUCAUCCAUAGUCGCACAUAUCCUUUGGGGCUCACGGCCAAUUGCAGGACAGAGGAGAGGACUGCUAGAGCAUGGAUUUCAAACCCCCUGGGUGCAUAACAUUCACCCUGAAAUAGGAGUGAUUGUCAAGGAAAGGAAGUGAAAUGUAAUUGACUGAAAGCGGAGAGAUAAUUAAAGGAACCUGUUGGACAGGAGGGACGAAAUUAAUGCCUCUCACUUAAUAGCUGCUUUGCGAGAGAACUUUUUCGUCAUCUCAUUUUGGCGCAGAAAAGAUUUUUUGCUGUGGAAAUGGGAUUUUUUGCAUUGGAGAGGGUGGCUGAUGAUAGUGGAAAUGGGCACUGGGUGGUGGGGGUGCUGUGUGCUAAACUGAAACUCCACAAAAUCACUCCCAAUACUCAGGGCAUCAGGCAUUAUGAUGUCAUGAUUAGUGGAGAGGUUCAGAGCCUUGCCUUACCCCAGAUCCGGGAAAAGAUGGAGCAGACAAAGAGAUGCAAAGCAAGUGUGUAGAGGGGGGGAGCACUGAGCAAAUGGAGGUGCUGACAAACCAUCUAAAUCUGGCUUUUACUUGGAACCAUUGCAUUCUAAAUAUGGCAACCAGCCAACAAGGCACAGUUAAGAAUUGUGGGACCAUAAUUGAAAAAAAAAAAUAAAAAAGAUGGUGGACACUUUUUUAAAAUGUAUUUCUCAAUGUAAAUAGUCUUUAAUAUAUAAAAAAACAGGGCAAGGUUGUACAGCUCUUGUGUUGAGAAGUUCAGCUCUGUGGGACAAUGAUGUCACUGUAAAUGUAUCCACAGCAGUGCAGGGAUUUAGGAGAGUUUUCAGUCUUUUUAAGCCCCUUAGGUUUGGGCUGUGAACAAGCAUCCUACAACCCGUAAGCGCUGGAGAACAGCUUAGAGUAUCUUACUUAAUGUCAGACCUAACCCAUGGCCCCAAAGGGAUCUGUUAAUUAAGAUUCAGUGUCCCUGAACACGUCAUGAGUUUUCUGCAGAAGAUCGCCCGUGCGGCACCUGGAUUACCCCAAUUUGGCUUGACAAACAGAUUUGACGACAUUUCUGUUUGACACUGUGGAAAAAGCAAUCAAAAGGAAGAGAACUAAUAAGAAAACAUCAGCUAUGAUAUCCUGUUUUUUUAAUUUCCUUGAACGUAUCAAUGUGAAGAAAGCAGAAGUUGUUUGGCAUGUACAUAAAACCAUUCUGAGGACAUGUAGAAACGAUGUACGUGCUUUCAGAGAAAAGGGACAAAUGAGAGAUCAAAAUAUGGAUCCCAGCAGAACCCCUGCUCGCUUGACUCAAUCUCCACCGCUCUCUUGACAACGCAGCUGCAUUAUAUCUGUACAUACAAUAUAGCUUAUUUUUCAAUUCUGUUCGCUAUUAUUUAAAACCGUAAAAUAGAUCAUGUUCAAACGUUUAAAAGAAAAAUAAAAGCAUAGCUAAUAUAUUUCAGGAAAAGUACAAAAAAUAUGAAAUAAUUUAUCGAAAACAGAUAAGAGGAUUUUAUUUCUUGUAUACACUGAUGUUUAAAAAAAUGAUUUUUUUUUCUUUCUUUGUCAUUGGCUGAAGCUGGGGUAGCCUUUUAUUCGGUUGUACUUAUUUUUUGUGCACAAUCCCUGUGUGAAAUCCCCUGUGAAUGGAAAAGUUGAGAGAUUUUGCUCCUUGAAAGCAGUCACAUCGAUACAAGAAUUAGUAAAGUGCACUGUAAAAGGAUGAUUGAUGGAACCGGUCUAUGGAUUCAGAAAAAGAAAAAAAUCUAUUGCACAGCUGACUUCAUGUGAAUCAGCAUUUCUUUACAAAAAGUGACAUUUGGGGUUUUUUGAGCUAAAAAAAUAAUUGAGUGAAAAAUAUAUAACUAAAAAUGAGAUUUAAGCAAAGAAAAAAACAAAACCUUGAUAUUACACUGGUAUUGGGACCUAUCUAUGUGGUGAUAUGUUAUUGUUGUCUGCCGUGGUUAAAACUGGUGUCUUUUUUUUUUGGGUAACCACUCACAUAUCCAAGUCGUAUGUUCUGUUCUUGCCUAUAGGACAUCUCUACCACAGUUUCUUACCUGAUGUGACUCCAUACACUGAAGACACUGUGCCAGCAGUAGAUCACGUUGCUCUUUAGUCAAGUGGGUUUGUUAAAGCAUUGAGGGAAUUCUGCCUUAAAAACAGCCUGUUUUCUCUGACGGCACUACCUGUGACGAGCGGUAAGUCGCUGUAUCCUGGGGAUGUCAAACAUUUUUUUUUUUUUAAGUCAGUUUUGACCCAAGGCCCAUUCUGACACAAACAUAGAAGUGGUCAUGCGCCUCUGUUUUCUUUGGUUACAAGGACCAAAAUGUAAACACACUCAGCUAACUGAGCAGUUUGCUUCAAUCAAGUGUUCAAUAAGAGCCUUUAAAGUGUUCACAGUUAGUCAUAGGUAUUUUUGCACCACGGAUCUUUGUGUCAUGAGCCCUAAAAUUCCCAGCUUCCCUGUCUGAUUUCAUUUCUGUUCGUUCAUUCACAAUCAAUCAUGAUAUAUUUAGGUAUUUGUAAUCAUAAUGAAAUAAAUAACCAUGUCUUUGUAUUAUUUUACUUGCAUUUUUUUUCUUAUCUUUCUGUUUGAAACAGAGAUGUAAUUUCAAUUAGCGUUGGCUCGGGUCCGUUUCCCUAAAUCGGGAUGAUAUCUCUCAUAGUGCUCCUGAACUCUGUAGUUCUCUAGUUCAUUAUAUUCUACUUAGACUAAAAUAAAGCACACUCCUGUAGAAAACGGA